UACAGAGGUCCCUAGCGUUGUUCGGAUUUACUGGGCGUAAAGGGCACGUAGGCGGCUAGGCGUGUCGAGUGUGAAAUCUCCGGGCUCAACCCGGAAAGUGCGCUCGAAACUACCUGGCUUGAGUCCGGGAGGGGGAAUCGGAAUGCAGGGUGUAGCGGUGAAAUGCGUUGAUAUCCUGCAGAACACCGGAGGCGAAGGCGGAUUCCUGGAACGGUACUGACGCUAAGGUGCGAAAGUCGGGGGAGCAAACAGG
rnacentral:rRNA from 1 species